UACAGAGGGGGCAAGCGUUGUUCGGAAUUACUGGGCGUAAAGGGCGCGUAGGCGGCCUGCUAAGUCGAACGUGAAAUCCCCGGGCUCAACCCGGGAACUGCGUCCGAUACUGGUUGGCUUGAAUCCGGGAGAGGGAUGCGGAAUUCCCGGUGUAGUGGUGAAAUGCGUAGAUAUCGGGAGGAACACCAGUGGCGAAGGCGGCUUUCUGGCCUGUUCUUGACGCUGAGGCGCGAAAGCUAGGGGAGCAAACGGG
rnacentral:rRNA from 1 species